rnacentral:piRNA from 1 species
UAUACCCCUAUGACUAUCAAC